rnacentral:rRNA from 1 species
AUUGAACGCUGGCGGCAGGCCUAACACAUGCAAGUCGAACGGUAACAGGAAGCAGCUUGCUGCUUUGCUGACGAGUGGCGGCCGGGUGAGUAAUGUCUGGGAAACUGCCUGAUGGAGGGGGAUAACUACUGGAAACGGUAGCUAAUACCGCAUAACGUCGCAAGACCAAAGAGGGGGACCUUCGGGCCUCUUGCCAUCGGAUGUGCCCAGAUGGGAUUAGCUAGUAGGUGGGGUAACGGCUCACCUAGGCGACGAUCCCUAGCUGGUCUGAGAGGAUGACCAGCCACACUGGAACUGAGACACGGUCCAGACUCCUACGGGAGGCAGCAGUGGGGAAUAUUGCACAAUGGGCGCAAGCCUAAUGCAGCCAUGCCGCGUGUAUGAAGAAGGCCUUCGGGUUGUAAAGUACUUUCAGCGGGGAGGAAGGGAGUAAAGUUAAUACCUUUGCUCAUUGACGUUACCCGCAGAAGAAGCACCGGCUAACUCCGUG